ACACAUGCAAGUCGAACGAGCGAGAGAGAGCUUGCUUUCUCGAGCGAGUGGCGAACGGGUGAGUAAUGCGUGAGGAAUCUGCCUCAAAGAGGGGGACAACAGUUGGAAACGACUGCUAAUACCGCAUAAGCCCACGGCUCGGCAUCGAGCAGAGGGAAAAGGAGCAAUCCGCUUUGAGAUGGCCUCGCGUCCGAUUAGCUAGUUGGUGAGGUAACGGCCCACCAAGGCGACGAUCGGUAGCCGGACUGAGAGGUUGAACGGCCACAUUGGGACUGAGACACGGCCCAGACUCCUACGGGAGGCAGCAGUGGGGAAUAUUGCACAAUGGGGGAAACCCUGAUGCAGCGACGCCGCGUGGAGGAAGAAGGUCUUCGGAUUGUAAACUCCUGUUGUUGGGGAAGAUAAUGACGGUACCCAACAAGGAAGUGACGGCUAACUACGUGCCAGCAGCCGCGGUAAAACGUAGGUCACAAGCGUUGUCCGGAAUUACUGGGUGUAAAGGGAGCGCAGGCGGGAAGACAAGUUGGAAGUGAAAUCUAUGGGCUCAACCCAUAAACUGCUUUCAAAACUGUUUUUCUUGAGUAGUGCAGAGGUAGGCGGAAUUCCCGGUGUAGCGGUGGAAUGCGUAGAUAUCGGGAGGAACACCAGUGGCGAGGGCGGCCUACUGGGCACCAACUGACGCUGAGGCUCGAAAGUGUGGGUAGCAAACAAGAUUAGAUACCCUGGUAGUCCACACCGUAAACGAUGAUUACUAGGUGUUGGAGGAUUGACCCCUUCAGUGCCGCAGUUAACACAAUAAGUAAUCCACCUGGGGAGUACGACCGCAAGGUUGAAACUCGAAGGAAUUGACGGGGGCCCGCACA
rnacentral:rRNA from 1 species